rnacentral:sRNA from 1 species
UGGCGCUCCUUCCGGCUCACAUGUGCGGUGGUUCUCCUCUAGGUCACCAUGGCUUUGUCAUUGGUUACUCCCUCUUUCUAAGGCGCCCUCUUGUUUGGUGGGCAGUAUUGGGUGGGUCCCCCCACAGCUGCGUGAGGUGGGCUAGAGGAGCUGGGCAUCGGGUCAGUGCCCCAGCCUGCUGGGGGCCCUGUGGGGCCGCCUGUGCCCCGGUGCCUGGAAGGCCGACUCUUGACAGCAGGUCUUCUCUUCAAAUGUAUCCACCCAGCCAGUUGUCUGCCCUGGGGCUGCUUAGAGUCGGCCACAAAAUCAACCUGUGUGCAGGGUCAGUGGCUUGGCAUUGGGCUGUGGGGCCUGUCCCUGUGGCUGGCAGCCUGCCUGCUGCCCGGUCCAUGCCUCUGUUGCCUUGGAUUUGGGUUCUGAGUGAAUGCAGCCUUGCCUCUUGGACCGUCCUGUGAGACGGGCAGCUCUCCACCUGCGUUCUCAGCACUGCGCCCUUGUUGCAGGUAUGGCGUCAUCAUUGUGGGCAACCCGAAGGCACUGUCGAAGCAGCCGCUCUGGAACCACCUGCUGAACUACUACAAGGAGCAGAAGGUGCUGGUGGAGGGGCCGCUCAACAACCUGCGCGAGAGCCUCAUGCAGUUCAGCAAGCCGCGGAAGCUGGUCAACACCAUCAACCCGGGAGCCCGCUUCAUGACCACAGCCAUGUAUGAUGCCCGGGAGGCCAUCAUCCCAGGCUCCGUCUAUGAUCGGAGCAGCCAGGGCCGGCCUUCCAGCAUGUACUUCCAGACCCAUGACCAGAUUGGCAUGAUCAGUGCCGGCCCUAGCCACGUUGCUGCCAUGAACAUUCCCAUCCCCUUCAACCUGGUCAUGCCACCCAUGCCACCACCUGGCUAUUUUGGACAAGCCAACGGGCCCGCUGCAGGUGAGCAUCCGUGGCUGCGGCUGGGUGUGGCCCUCCCGAGAGCUCUCGAGGGUGUGCUUGUCUAUGAGGCGCUGACCUCCUUCGGAUCACCCUGGACUGCUGUCUUUCAGGGCGAGGCACCCCGAAAGGCAAGACUGGUCGUGGGGGACGCCAGAAGAACCGCUUUGGGCUUCCUGGACCCAGCCAGACCAACCUCCCCAACAGCCAAGCCAGCCAGGAUGUGGCGUCACAGCCCUUCUCUCAGGGCGCCCUGACGCAGGGCUACAUCUCCAUGAGCCAGCCUUCCCAGAUGAGCCAGCCCGGCCUCUCCCAGCCGGAGCUGUCCCAGGACAGUUACCUUGGUGACGAGUUUAAAUCACAAAUCGACGUGGCACUCUCGCAGGAUUCCACGUACCAGGGAGAGCGGGCUUACCAGCAUGGCGGGGUGACGGGGCUGUCCCAGUAUUAAAAGGUGGCGGCGGAAGAGCUAAGCAAUGUGGCUUAGUCCAUCAGCAUCUUAUUCUGGGUAAUAAAAAAUAAAAAUAAACGGAUACCUGUUUUCCACUGCUAAAACUGAAGCACCACUGUGUGAGCGACAGGAAGGGAGAGCGCACGAGGGAGAGGAGCCGAGGCCGAGCGCCCCCUGCUGGCCCGCGGCGGCGAGGAGCAGAGGGAGCGGAGGAGGGGCCGGCCCGCGGGAGCCGCGGCCACCAGGAGGCCCCGCUCCGUCCCACCGGGGCUGCGGCCAGGGCGGAGGGAGGAAGACCCUCAUCUCAGAGUAGCCCUUUCCUCUGUUCUUUUAUUUCUUUUUCUCUUUGAUUGAAAGGGGACUACGUCUUAGCAGGAAAAAACUUCGCAUUUCUGUGCCCGAGCAGGCUCCUUGCAAAGACAGCAGCGUGCGGGGCAGAGCCCCGGGAGGGCGCGUCUGUCCACGCCUACCGGACGCGCGUCGCACUGCCUGUGUUCUCCGAGGGCCUUCAUUUAAAGAAAAUAAGGGUGUUUGGGGUUUUUCUGUUUGUUUUUUUCAAGAUUCUUUUAAAGGAGUACUGAAGAAUACUUUCCUAAGUUUGUCUCUCAAAUCUUAGCGGUGGACCUGGGAGAUGUGAGAAGCUUCCAGAAACAGUUUAAAUAAGCCAGCGCCACUGGAGAAGAGGAGCAACACCUGUGCCGUGGCCGGAGGAGGAUUUUUGUUGUUGGUUUUAGCUUCCAGUGGCUUCUUGCUGCGGGGCAUCGGGCCGCUGGGGUAGCCGCCCGCCGAGCCUGGAAGCUGCUCGUUCUCCGCUGGACUCAGAAGCCAAGCUGCUUCCCACCUGGACUCGGCGCAGGGCCCCGCACCUGUGAGGAAGGUGCUUUUGGCCCCAUUGCGAGGGGCCUUGGCCAGGACUGGCCCUGUGGCCAGGAGGCGAGAAGGUGGCUGUUCCCGGAUUGACGGCUUUUUCCUGGGGGCCUUUGUGGAAGAUUUGGUGGAAGGACAAGAGGGCCUGGCCCUGUCCCCAUCCCCAGGAGGUACCGACGGUCCCUGUGCUGGUUAGACACACGGAGCACUGCAUACCGAAAGCCCAAAUUGGGAGCUCUGCCUGCCGGCAACUUUGCUGAUGGGGUGAUUGCUGCUUCUAGGGGGUAAGGAAACAAGUUACAGAAAUUACCGCGUUCUGUGUGAAGGGGCUGAGGGUGUGGUGUCAUUGGCAGAGGGUCAUUUUAGGAGAGCUGCCCCAGCCCCUCGAACGCCUGGCUUGGGGUGUCAUUCUGCCUGGCAGCCAGGCCUCCAGCCUCCCCUGGCCCGGGCCUGGGGCCGUCACUGGCCCUGAUCCGAACACCUCCAGAUUCCGGCUUCUACAUGGGACAGACGGGGACGCACAGGCCACCUUCCUUCUGGCAGGGACUCUUAUUUAUUCCCAUUGCUCUAGGGCUUUCGGUUUCCCCUUCUUCCGGUAGGCCGCGUAGAGGCAUGCACUGGGUAGGUUUCCGCGGUGACUCCGCGGCGGCCUGAGGGACGCUCCCUGCCCCAUCCCGGCUGUUGGGCUGGGCCGCUUUGCCUCUGCUUCGCCCUGUGCUGUGUUCUCCAGCUUUGUAGCAGCAGCCUUGACAAACCCAGGCGCACUGUACCAAGGCAAUGUAACUUUUGAUUUUCGGUCAAUUUAAGUUCUUUUGUCACCAAUAAAAUAUUAAUAAACAGUUUUGACUUC